rnacentral:rRNA from 1 species
AGCCCAAAGGACUUGACGGUGUCCCACCCCCCUAGAGGAGCCUGUUCUAUAAUCGAUACCCCCCGAUACACCUCACCACCCCUUGCAUACCAGCCCGUAUACCUCCGUCGCAAGCUUACCAUGUGAACGUCUUAGUGAGCCAAAAGAUCCACCAUCAACACGUCAGGUCAAGGUGCAGCCCACGGAGUGGAAAGAAAUGGGCUACAAUUUCUACCAUAGAACAAACGAAAGACUACAUGCAACAUAGUCACUGAAGGCGGAUUUAGCAGUAAAAAGAAAAUAGAGAGCUCUUUUUAACCAGGCACUGGGACGCGUACACACCGCCCGUCACCCUCUUCAAAUCAUCCAACUACCACCACAAAGAAGAGGCAAGUCGUAACACGGUAAGCGUACUGGAAAGUGCGCUUGGAACAAAAUGUACCUUAACAAAAGCACCUUGCUUACACCAAGAACAUGUCCGCGAAACUCGGACCAUUUUGAGCCAGAAAUCCAGCCCUUCUAACCAGAAUGAAAGCCCAACCCUACUAAUACUUAAUAAAACAUUUCUCAACUUAGUAAAGGCGAUUAAAAAGUACCUAGGAG